rnacentral:rRNA from 1 species
UACGUAGGGUCCGAGCGUUGUCCGGAUUUAUUGGGCGUAAAGAGCUCGUAGGCGGUUCCGUAAGUCAGAUGUGAAAACUCAGGGCUCAACCCGGAGACGCCAUCUGAUACUGCGGUGACUGGAGUCUGGUAGGGGAACACGGAAUUCCUGGUGUAGCGGUGAAAUGCGCAGAUAUCAGGAGGAACACCGGUGGCGAAGGCGGUUCUCUGGGCAUUACCUGACGCUGGAGGAGCGAAAGUGUGGGGAGCGAACAGG